rnacentral:hammerhead_ribozyme from 1 species
ACCUUGCUGAUGAAUGCCAAAUAGCACGAAACCCGUGUCCAGGGU